rnacentral:misc_RNA from 1 species
GGAAUAUUUUUGCUGUACUUUCUAUAGUGAAUAGAGUUAGGCAGGGAUAUUCC